UAGUAUUUCAAGUACCUAAGAAGAAUUAUUGGGAAGCUGGUGAACCAAAUACAGCAAAAAAAAAAGGAGAAAAUCAGGUAAAAGCUGUACUGAUCGAGUGAGAAUCGAAAUGGUAGGCAUGUGAAUGGUGAACCAACCAAAAUUUAGCGUGCACCUAAAAGCGUCUAAAGGAUUGGCAGGCCUGGCCCUGGCCUUGCCAAUGACAAAAACCCACCAACUUCUGUAACCUCCUCACCACAUACAAAAGAAGACAAAGCAUAUGGCUACAGCAAAACGAGGGCAUGCCCCUUGAGGACAUUGUGAAUGGGACGAGCUUGGAUUCUGCCAUCUCCAGUUUUGGAAAUGGGGAAAAAAAAAGGUGUUGAAGGUUCUGUAGCAGUGUCCCAUGGAGUGAUGCAAUCACUGUCUGUUUCAUUACCCAGGAGAAUGAUGUUUUUAAUCUCAUAUUCAGACCCUCAGCAACCAAAUCUCCAAAGCAUGGAAAAAUAUAUUUAAUAAUGUAUGUACUUUUCUUCAACAUUUUGCUUGAUCGUAUUCCUUGCUUUCAAUCCUUGGUUUGUCCUUUUGCUUGGCAGGUUUGGAAUCUAAAGACCAAGGAUUAGUUUGUUUAAUCCUUUGAAUAAAUUGAAAAGAAAUAUUAUCUUA